AAUAACCAAAGAUUACACCUGGACUAAGAGUUAAAUUUGUAAUUUUUCUUACAUCUCCACCACCUGGAGCCCAUGUAUCAUAAAUACCACCAAAAUAUAAGGCUUUAAAUACUAAAAGAAAAGCACCAGCACCUAACAAAAUUAAAUGAAUACCUAAAAUAGUAGUCAUUUUGUUUUUGUCUUUCCA
rnacentral:antisense_RNA from 1 species